CCUACGGGAGGCAGCAGUGGGGAAUAUUGGGCAAUGGGCGCAAGCCUGACCCAGCAACGCCGCGUGAAGGAAGAAGGCUUUCGGGUUGUAAACUUCUUUUCUCAGGGACGAAGAAAGUGACGGUACCUGAGGAAUAAGCCACGGCUAACUACGUGCCAGCAGCCGCGGUAAUACGUAGGUGGCAAGCGUUAUCCGGAUUUACUGGGUGUAAAGGGCGUGUAGGCGGGAAAGCAAGUCAGAUGUGAAAACCAUGGGCUCAACCUGUGGCCUGCAUUUGAAACUGUUUUUCUUGAGUACUGGGGAGGCAGACGGAAUUCCUAGUGUAGCGGUGAAAUGCGUAGAUAUUAGGAGGAACACCAGUGGCGAAGGCGGUCUGCUGGACAGCAACUGACGCUGAGGCGCGAAAGCGUGGGGAGCAAACAGGAUUAGAUACCCCUGUAGUC
rnacentral:rRNA from 1 species